rnacentral:lncRNA from 1 species
CUGUGUAUUAUGAAAUGCAUUAAACACAGAGAUAACACAGCAGCUGCUGCAACAAAGACUACAGCAUACCAAGGUAGAGCAGAGAUGAAACAAUUGUUGUACCAGACUAACACUUCUGUUGCUAUGUCAAGGAAUCCGGAAGAGAUGGUGAAAAGGAAUAUCUAUUCUGAGAGAUCCAAGAGUGAAUGUUAUGCAGAAGGUCAGCUGCGGAACAAAUAUGAAUCUUCAGUUCAGUCAAGAACUUUACCAAAGCCUACCCAAAAGUACAGUCAGCCAGUUGUGGUGACUUCGAAUGAUGAUGCUGUUGAAGUAAGUAGUCUGACAUCAACAUAUCAAACAGGAACGCUGUCUUCCCAGCAAAAUAAUGAACAUGGACAUAGUGUAGGGAAUAUGAAACAUUAUGAAGAAAUACCAGAGAUGUCAGGAAACAAUAUCUACAAAAACAAUGAAGAUUGUACAUUGAAAAAAGAUGAAAACCAGGAAACCUAUCUAAAACAUGCAUAACAUAUAAUAGUUUAUCUUCUAUCUGUCUUAGGGAGGCAAACAUUAUUUGUAACAUUCUUAAACUGAUGUCGUUAAGUUUUAUUUUCUUAAUUAUCUUCACAAAUAGCUUUCAUUAGACAUUCUGAGACAUGACAACUAGAUUUUUUUAAGAUAGGCAACUUUAGUGUCCUUAAAAACCUCUCUGCCAUAAAGACUACAUGUCAGAAUUUGAUGGUUAAUUUUAUUUUCCAUUAAAUACAACACUGUAUGUGUACGUAUGUAUAUAUAUAUAUAUAUAUAUAUAUAUAUAUAUAUGUGUGUGUGUGUGUGCUUAGCUAUAUGUGUGUACAUAUACAUAUAAAUCAAUCCAAGGAAAAAACAAUUUCCUUCAAUGGGAUGGAAAACAUCCAAAUUUCACUGGUUCUUUAGUUAAAUACCACAAGAUAGUAGAGAAAAAAAUCUAUAUUAAAGGAAAUAGAGAAAUACGAUUGACAUAUUAAAAAUUUAUUAAUAUUAUGAUAUAAUAUAAUUAUAAUAUAAAAAGAUAUAAUAUAAUAUAACAAAUAAUUAAAACAAAUGUCUCCCCCAGGGAAUUUAUAAAGAUUCACUUUUAAGCAUAUGAGUCUCUUGAGGGUAGUAUUUGUCUAAAAAAAGACAAAAAUUUCAUGCAAGGACUGCGAAAUUAUAAUAAAAUAGACUUAAUACAUUACCUGUAUUUAUUUUAUACACUUCAGGAAAAUGAAAGACAAAAUCCACCCUGGGAUUUGAACUUAGAACAAGAAGAGACCAAAAUAAAUCCCAAAAGUCAUUUAGUUCAGUACUCAACUGUUUAUGUUGCUCCAAUAAAGCCAAUUUUUUUGUUGUGUGAUUAAUUCGAGAUCACUGGCAAAUUUUAUUGCUAUUAUUUAGUUAGAGUUAUGAAAUACAUGAGAGUUACAUUUUGAUAGCAAAUAUUUAAUUUUACACGAAACAUAGGAUAUAAGAGACCUUUGAUGAUAUUUUAUUUCCUUCAAAAUUUGCUUUCCUCUCUAAACAAAGUCAGUUUAAAAUUCCAUUAUCUUACAUUUAAAUUCUCUGUACUUCACUUUGUUUUCUACAAGCUACUUAACAUUUAUACUGAUAGAUGAAGAAAAGCAAGAGCAUAUGAUUCAAGGGGUAACUCUCUCUCUCUCUCUCUCUCUCUCUCUCUCUCUAUCUCUCUCUCUUUCUCUCUCUCUCUAUCUCUCUCUCUUUCUCUCUCUCUCACACACACACAUUCAACCAAAUGAAAUGUUGUAGCAGGCUCCUCUCUGGUUGAUCAUCGUAAAGCUGUUGUUACAGCAGCAGAGAUCUAGCAGCAACAGCAAUUGUUACAAUGAACUGGUUUAUUUCAAGUGGCAGUGUCAAUCAUAACACAAAACAUAUAAUAUUCUCAGCUACAGAACAAAUAUAAAGUUCAAAGCAGAACUCUUCCCAAACCUUCAUUGACAGAAGUGCAGCCAACCAGUUAUAGUAAACUCUAAUGAUGAUGCUGUAGAAGAUUAUUCAACUUUGCCUUCUAACGCCCCAUCUGGUUCACUCUCUACUCAAUAGGGCAACACCCAAGGGUGGGAAAUUUCAACUUUAUAAAGAAAUACUCGAAAUUUCAAGGACUGAAAUAUACAUUAAGCAGCAGCCUUGAAUAAGAGUCACCACCAAAAGACAUCCUUGAAACAUGUAGCAAUCAUGAAAACAAUCUUCCCCCAGUCUAUUAAUUAACAUAAUGGAAAUUUUGUUGCAUAAUAUUUGAGUGGAACUUUAAUUUCAAAACCAUGACAAGUCAAACAAUGUAAAUAUUUCCUGUCUGCUACAAUUUACCCAUAUACUAGGCAUAUCAAAGAAAAAAUAGCUUUAAUGAUAGCUACUUUAAAAGACAAACUUUUAUAUCUUGAGGCUUAUUGUUUUAUUUUCUGUUAUCUCAGUAUUCCUUUGCACUGAGUUACGUUUUCUUGAAACUGUUUUUAUCUCAAUAAGAACUAUCGUUGAAGAGGACUCUUUACAAGCUUUCUUUUUCAAGUUUCCCCUUUGAGAAAAGGGGAAAAUAAAAUUAUUUGUAUUUAUUGAUAUUGUGACAUUAAUUCCCCCAAGUCCCAAAAAAAAGAGAAACUAUUUUGUUGGGCGUAUACUUGUAUUUGUAAAUGUUUAUAUGUUUGUGCUCUUUUAAAAAAGAAAGCUUAACUCAAACUUCUCAAACUAAAUGUUUUAAUAAGCUACAAGGGUAAAUUUAGUUGUAAUAAAACUUAUUUUUGACAUGGUUCAUUAAGUUCUUGCUACUUCAGAAAUAUUUCUGUAAAAAAAAAUAAUGUUCAUACAUAGAUAACAUUAAAAAAAAAUGAUAUUUUCUUUAGUAAAAAGUACCAGAAUACAAUGAAAGUAUUCUUGAUGCAGCAAAUUUAAAUAUUUGUCCACCAUUCACAUUCUAUUUGUUGAAGUUUUGUUAUAAAUAAGAAGGUUUUAACUGAAACAAUUUUAUGUACAUCAGUUUGCUUGUUAAACCAAAUUCACAUUAUAAGAAUAUGGUGUAUCAUAAUAUUGUUUCCUUGUAUCAGCAUAAAGUUACAGAUUUGUAAAGAAGUACAAAUGUCUAAAUUCGCCCCAGUACACACUUAUAUCAUCAACCAGCAGAAGAAUGGAAAGCAAAUUUCGAUCCAGUGAGAUCUUGUAAUGGAUAUAAAGGAAUGUAAUAAAAUAACAUAAUAUAUUUAAUUCAGCACCCAAUACACACACACACACACACACACACCUCCUUAUAUCAGAAAACACUCAUUUGGUAUUAUUUCAUAAAAACAAUUUAUAUCUUAGUAAUUACAUGCCAAAUACAUAAUCAUAUUUAAAAUGAAUGGUCAAGAGUAAGAGAAGGUGACAUGCAAAUAUUAGCAUCAAAUAACUGUUUUAAAUUUCUGUUGCACCAACAAAAUUGAUACAGGAUAAUGGAACAGUUAAGCUCAUUUAUUGAAAAUUCCUAUCGACAUGAAUAUAUAUCUUGAGAAAUGAACCAAUUGUUUUACAAGACAUGAUACAGUCAAUAUAUCAAUAUAUCAAAGAAAGUUGAAAUUUUCACUCUAAAUUGUCUGGAUACCAACAAAUAUUGAACCUUCUUUCAAAGAAAAAUACAUCUCCUAAUUAUUACAGAACAUGUUUCCUACCCAAGAGAGUCAAAGGUCUUGAUGGAAUUGACAAUAUUUACUCCAAAGAAUUCCAAUUACACAGUAAACUGUGGUAAAUUUAUGUUUCAAAUAUAUUAAAUGUAUUUUCAAAUGUUUGAUUCACUUUAUAAAAAUCAGUAAAUCUUUUAAACAACAUGUAAAGCUUUGUUAUGAAGGACUCUGGAGAAAAUGUUCAAUACACAAUGAAAGUAGAAAAUUCAUUUGGUAAAGAUGGAUAGACAACAUCGGAUUAAAAGGUUUCAGUAUUAAUGAAAAUUAUAGUUCUGUUAAAUAACACUUUCAUAUCAGACACAUGUUAAAAAGGAAUGAUGAAGGCUAAUAUAUGAUCUUAAAAAACCUAAACCAGUGGAAUACCCAGACUUCAUAACUUUGGCAUGUUAUAUGAUACACAUGCCAAAGCUCCUUUUAAAGCUAGUAAUGGAAUGGUAUAAACAUUAGAGGAAGAGAUAUCAAUAAACCUCUGAAAUUUGUAAAUGAAAAUAUUUAUGACUGGGGAAAGUUACAUAAUUAUUAAUUUUAAAUACACUAAUGGUAAAGGCAAAAUAUUUCAUCAAGAAAAGAAAAUGCAAAUACUGGUAUAUCUAAGAAUAUGGAGAGAAGUAACAUCAAUGUGACCAACAUAGCACUUGGGUUAGAAUAAAUUUGUAAUCAAUUCAUUAAACAAAAACGAGAAUUCAAAAUACUCUUGAUACUUUACAUUAAAUGAAAAAGAAACGGACUUAAAGACUGCUACAUCUGACUAGUUUUUUGUAAGGUUUUUAAACCCCUUUUUACGUAAUAAAGAUUUGGUAAACCAUUGAAUUAUUUGGAGUUGAGUAUUCAGGUAACUGAGUUGUAUAAAAUGAGAGAAAAAUGGAAUGCAUUUCAAAUGUUGAGAUCUAAAGCAGUUCAUAUUUAUAUAACUUCAAAGGAAAUACAGCUCUUUUAGAUUAUCAGAGGAGAGUGUUCCAUAAUGAAAAUUAUUUCAAAAGGAAAGAAAUAGAGUAACAAAAAAAAAAAAGAAGCAAAGACUGA